AGAUUUCUCUUAAGGUAUAGUUUUGGACUCUCGCCUUAAUAGUGUGUUGCCAAAAUAAAGAUAUUCUCUGGCAGAGUGGGUUUUGUUGUUGUUGUUGUUGUUGUUGUUGUUGUUGUUGUUGGUUGAUUUGGUUUUUGUUUAGUUUUGCUUUCUGAGUAUAUUUAAAGGAUAUUUCUUUUUUCUUUUUUGUAUUUUGGAUUUCUUUCCAACUUUCUGAAGCUGGCAGGACCUAAUCUGUCGGAUGGCUGCAUCAGUGAAGGAGCAAUCCACAAAGCCAAUUCCAUUACCACAGUCAACACCUGGCGAAGGAGAUAAUGAUGAAGAAGAUCCUUCAAAAUUAAAAGAGGAGCAGCAUGGCAUUUCAGUCACUGGUUUGCAGAGUCCAGGUACACUCUUCUGAAGAGUUCAAUGGAGAAUGUGCUCUAUUAUCUGU
rnacentral:lncRNA from 10 species